CCUCUCUACUGUAUGUAGCCUCUCUACUGUAUAUAGCCUCUCUACUGUAUGUAGCCUGUCUUUUUACUGUUGUUUUAUUUCCUACCUGUUGUUCACCUAACACCUUUUUUUUUUACUAUUGGUUAGAGCCUGUCAGUAAGCAUUUCACUGUAAGGUCUACUACACCUGUUGUAUUCAGUAUUUCACUGUGAGGUCUACUACACCUGUUGUAUUCAGUAUUUCACUGUGAGGUCUACUACACCUGUUGUAUUCAGCAUUUCACUGUGAGGUCUACUACACCUGUUGUAUUCAGUAUUUCACUGUGAGGUCUACUACACCUGUUGUAUUCAGCAUUUCACUGUGAGGUCUACUACACCUGUUGUAUUCAGCAUUUCACUGUGAGGUCUACUACACCUGUUGUAUUCAGUAUUUCACUGUGAGGUCUACUACACCUGUUGUAUUCAGCAUUUCACUGUGAGGUCUACUACACCUGUUGUAUUCAGCAUUUCACUGUGAGGUCUACUACACCUGUUGUAUUCAGUAUUUCACUGUGAGGUCUACUACACCUGUUGUAUUCAGCAUUUCACUGUAAGGUCUACUACACCUGUUGUAUUCAGCAUUUCACUCUGAGGUCUACUACACCUGUUGUAUUCAGCAUUUCACUGUGAGGUCUACUACACCUGUUGUAUUCAGCAUUUCACUGUAAGGUCUACUACACCUGUUGUAUUCAGCAUUUCACUGUGAGGUCUACUACACCUGUUGUAUUCGGCAUUUCACUGUAAGGUCUACUACACCUGUUGUAUUCAGCAUUUCACUGUGAGGUCUACUACACCUGUUGUAUUCGGCAUUUCACUGUAAGGUCUACUACACCUGUUGUAUUCAGCAUUUCACUGUAAGGUCUACUACACCUGUUGUAUUCGGCAUUUCACUGUGAGGUCUACUACACCUGUUGUAUUCAGCAUUUCACUGUGAGGUCUACUACACCUGUUGUAUUCGGCAUUUCACUGUAAGGUCUACUACACCUGUUGUAUUCAGCAUUUCACUGUG